rnacentral:rRNA from 1 species
CUCAAAUGAAUUGACGGGGGCCCGCACAAGCGGUGGAGCAUGUGGUUUAAUUCGAUGCAACGCGAAGAACCUUACCUGGUCUUGACAUCCACAGAACUUUCCAGAGAUGGAUUGGUGCCUUCGGGAACUGUGAGACAGGUGCUGCAUGGCUGUCGUCAGCUCGUGUUGUGAAAUGUUGGGUUAAGUCCCGCAACGAGCGCAACCCUUAUCCUUUGUUGCCAGCGGUUAGGCCGGGAACUCAAAGGAGACUGCCAGUGAUAAACUGGAGGAAGGUGGGAUGACGUCAAGUCAUCAUGCCUUACGACCAGGCUACACACGUGCUACAAUGGCAUAUACAAAGAGAAGCGACCUCGCGAGAGCAAGCGGACCUCAUAAAGUAUGUCGUAGUCCGGAU